CUUGCACCUGGUGGCGAGUGGCGAACGGGUGAGUAAUAUAUCGGGACGUACCUUAUCGUGGGGGAUAACGCAGCGAAAGCUGCGCUAAUACCGCAUACGCCCUGAGGGGGAAAGCGGGGGACCGUAAGGCCUCGCGCGAUUAGAGCGGCCGAUAUCUGAUUAGCUUGUUGGUGGGGUAAAAGCCCACCAAGGCGACGAUCAGUAGCUGGUCUGAGAGGACGAUCAGCCACACUGGGACUGAGACACGGCCCAGACUCCUACGGGAGGCAGCAGUGGGGAAUUUUGGACAAUGGGGGCAACCCUGAUCCAGCAAUGCCGCGUGAGUGAAGAAGGCCUUCGGGUUGUAAAGCUCUUUUGUCAGGGAAGAAACAGCAGCUCUAACACAGUCUGCGAAUGACGGUACCUGAAGAAUAAGCACCGGCUAACUACGUGCCAGCAGCCGCGGUAAUACGUAGGGUGCAAGCGUUAAUCGGAAUUACUGGGCGUAAAGCGUGCGCAGGCGGUUAUACAAGACAGGCGUGAAAUCCCCGGGCUUAACCUGGGAAUGGCGUCUGUGACUGUAUGACUAGAGUGUGUCAGAGGGGGGUAGAAUUCCACGUGUAGCAGUGAAAUGCGUAGAUAUGUGGAGGAAUACCAAUGGCGAAGGCAGCCCCCUGGGAUAACACUGACGCUCGUGCACGAAAGCGUGGGGAGCAAACAG
rnacentral:rRNA from 1 species